rnacentral:tRNA from 1 species
GCUUUCGUGGUGUAACGGUAGCACACUCGGCGGGUAUUCGAGAGGUCCAGGUUCGAGUCCCGCAGAGGGCA